CCCUCUCAAGGAAAGAUGGCUGGGCACUUCAGGUCUGUUCAUGGUGUUUGGUGCUGAUGGUUGCGUCUUUCACACCAGAAAUUGCCUCAUAUGCAGAUACUAGAUGGCUCACUUCAGUUCCAUCUCCGAAGUGCCCCUGUGUCCUCUGUUAGUCCAAUGGCUCCUCCAUCACCCUUGAUGGCUGCAUUGUUCUGUUCAUGAGCUUGGUCAAUGGCCAUGGCAGAGAAGUCUCUUCUGGACAACAAAGUUUGUGAAACUCUCUGGCUACGUCUUGAUGCUGCUUCUCAAGAGGCAUUAUAACUCUGAAAUGAACUGGAAGCCACUGAGCAUAAUUUACAUUGUUAUUCGCGAAGAAGUAACUAUUUGACAGAGGCAACACCUGGUCCAGUUGGUCUGCCAUGAUGCAGUCUCACAUUUGGUGUUUGAAGCCAUUCUGAUGACUAGGGCCGAGGGUUUAUCCUUUUACCAACCUGUAUCAUGGGCACUUUCCUGUAUAGGAUAUGUAGCCGGUGGGACCAAUGGGCGUAGCGAACUUUUAUUUUGAUUCACCUCUGUCACCUUUCUCCUGUGUGUACGUCACUAGUAGGGGCUUGGGCUGGGUUCCAAUUAGUUUAGUGCAAACAGGCAUAGAUAUAUACACCUUGGGUCCUUAUGCCGGUAGCCAUCCAUUACUGAUUGUGGAGUGAAGCCGCGUUUUGGAGCGUUGUCUUCAGCGACACGGUAUGUUGGAAAUGACUCUCUUUUCCCUUUCUUGGCGUCAGUGUUAAGUGGACUAAGCAACGUUUUGCCUUUGGUUAGGUAGCUUGUUAUAGAGCGGAUGCCAACAGGAACGAGUUGAGCGUCUUCCCUACCAACUGCAAUCCAUAUCCCGUUUACAUGCAUCGCAACGUGUUAAGUAGCAGUCAGUGUAUCAGUGCGGUGGUUAUUGUGGUUGCUGGCCGCAUAUAGAUACCAGGUGCAUGACGUUCUCGGGUGCAGCUGUUUAGACAGCGAAGGUACGUUUUGUCUAUGCCUACAGCACACUUGCUAACAUACCACUGCUUUGUGUCCUUGCAGUAAAUAGCCUCUAGUGGUUUCUGUUUAAGGUUACCUGCUCAUCUGAAUCCUGUUUGAAUGAGUGUAUGCUUCGAGUGUAAGCCAGCUGUGUUUGCAAACACUUAAACUUGUACUCUGUUUGUUCCUGUCUUAUAGAAGCUAUUGAAGCACACAGCUAUACUGCAUUGUUAGCUGCUGUUCUCUUCCAGUUAGUUAUAGGUCCGGGUGCUGCUUUUAGAAUAUAUGUAUCUCUGUUUUCCCCUCUAGCCUGGGGGCCUAGGUGUGUAUAUGUGGCUAAGAGGAUAUUGUGAGCCACAGGUUAGAGGGUUUAUUUUUGUUUGUUUGUUUCAUUAAUUUGUUAUCUGUUUCCCCUGUGUCAUCUCCCCUGCCGCAAUAGCCUGGGUAUCGUUUGGGGCCCUAGCCUAGAUUACAGGUUGGCCAGGUUUUCCUCUAAGAUAGUUUCUCACCUUUGAUAAGAUGUGCAGUGUAAUGCAGUGAAGUGUGAACCCCUUUUUCUUAAUGUGCCCAAGUGGUGCGCUUGCGGUGGUGUGGCCAAUGAGCUAGUAGUGUGUGCUCUCCUUCACAUGUGGUAUUGGAGGCAGGCCCCUGUUAGUCUGUGUGGUCAGUGGCUCCGGAUUCUUACCCAACGGCUGGGGCAUUCCCCUGAAGUCCAUUUAAUGUAUUUAUGUAUUUAUUUAUUGACAACCAAAGUGACACCUUGUUUUAACGAGAAACAAAAUUAAACCUAAUCUUUUAUAUCUUUCCAAAGAA